AACGAACGCUGGCGGCAUGCCUAACACAUGCAAGUCGAACGAUGGUCUUCGGAUCAUAGUGGCGCACGGGUGCGUAACGCGUGGGAAUCUGCCCUUGGGUUCGGAAUAACAGUUGGAAACGACUGCUAAUACCGGAUGAUGUCGAUAAGACCAAAGAUUUAUCGCCCGAGGAUGAGCCCGCGUCGGAUUAGCUAGUUGGUGGGGUAAAGGCCUACCAAGGCGACGAUCCGUAGCUGGUCUGAGAGGAUGAUCAGCCACACUGGGACUGAGACACGGCCCAGACUCCUACGGGAGGCAGCAGUGGGGAAUGUUGGACAAUGGGCGCAAGCCUGAUCCAGCAAUGCCGCGUGAGUGAUGAAGGCCUUAGGGUUGUAAAGCUCUUUUACCCGGGAAGAUAAUGACUGUACCGGGAGAAUAAGCCCCGGCUAACUCCGUG
rnacentral:rRNA from 1 species